rnacentral:rRNA from 1 species
UGGGGAAUAUUGGACAAUGGGCGCAAGCCUGAUCCAGCAAUGCCGCGUGGGUGAAGAAGGUCUUCGGAUCGUAAAGCCCUUUCGGCGGGGACGAUGAUGACGGUACCCGCAGAAGAAGCCCCGGCUAACUUCGUGCCAGCAGCCGCGGUAAUACGAAGGGGGCUAGCGUUGCUCGGAAUUACUGGGCGUAAAGGGCGCGUAGGCGGCCUUGUUAGUCAGGCGUGAAAUUCCUGGGCUCAACCUGGGGGCUGCGCUUGAUACGGCAGGGCUUGAGGAUGGAAGAGGCUCGUGGAAUUCCCAGUGUAGAGGUGAAAUUCGUAGAUAUUGGGAAGAACACCGGUGGCGAAGGCGGCGAGCUGGUCCAUUACUGACGCUGAGGCGCGACAGCGUGGGGAGCAAACAGGAUUAGAUACCCUGGUAGUCCACGCCGUAAAACGAUGUGCGCUGGAUGUUGGGGCCCCUAGGGCCUCAGUGUCGUAGCCAACGCGGUAAGCGCACCGCCUGGGGAGUACGGCCGC